rnacentral:rRNA from 1 species
GGGUGAGUAACACGUGGGCAACCUGCCUGUAAGACUGGGAUAACACCGGGAAACCGGUGCUAAUACCGGAUAAUUCUUCACCUCGCAUGUGGUGAAGCUGAAAGUCGGUUUUCGGCUGACACUUACAGAUGGGCCCGCGGCGCAUUAGCUAGUUGGUGAGGUAACGGCUCACCAAGGCGACGAUGCGUAGCCGACCUGAGAGGGUGAUCGGCCACACUGGGACUGAGACACGGCCCAGACUCCUACGGGAGGCAGCAGUAGGGAAUCUUCCGCAAUGGACGAAAGUCUGACGGAGCAACGCCGCGUGAGUGAUGAAGGCCUUCGGGUCGUAAAACUCUGUUGUUAGGGAAGAACAAGUAUCGGAGUAACUGCCGGUACCUUGACGGUACCUAACCAGAAAGCCACGGCUAACUACGUGCCAGCAGCCGCGGUAAUACGUAGGUGGCAAGCGUUGUCCGGAAUUAUUGGGCGUAAAGCGCGCGCAGGCGGUCCUUUAAGUCUGA